UACUGGCCUGUUGUAGAAGGUACAGCAGAGCUGAUGGACGGUGGUUGGGGGUGUGGUUGUCAUGUUGAUGAUACUGGCCUGUUGUAGAAGGUACAGCAGAGCUGAUGACCGGUGGUUGGGGGUGUGGUUGUCAUGUUGAUGAUACUGGCCUGUUGUAGAAGGUACAGCAGAGCUGAUGACCGGUGGUUGGGGGUGUGGUUGUCAUGUUGAUGAUACUGGCCUGUUGUAGAAGGUACUUCAGAGCUGAUGACCGGUGGUUGGGGGUGUGGUUGUCAUGUUGAUGAUACUGGCCUGUUGUAGAAGGUACAGCAGAGCUGAUGACCGGUGGUUGGGGGUGUGGUUGUCAUGUUGAUGAUACUGGCCUGUUGUAGAAGGUACAGCAGAGCUGAUGACCGGUGGUUGGGGGUGUGGUUGUCAUGUUGAUGAUACUGGCCUGUUGUAGAAGGUACAGCAGAGCUGAUGACCGGUGGUUGGGGGUGUGGUUGUCAUGUUGAUGAUACUGGCCUGUUGUAGAAGGUACAGCAGAGCUGAUGACCGGUGGUUGGGGGUGUGGUUGUCAUGUUGAUGAUACUGGCCUGUUGUAGAAGGUACAGCAGAGCUGAUGAACGGUGGUUGGGGGUGUGGUUGUCAUGUUGAUGAUACUGGCCUGUUGUAGAAGGUACUUCAGAGCUGAUGACCGGUGGUUGGGGGUGUGGUUGUCAUGUUGAUGAUACUGGCCUGUUGUAGAAGGUACAGCAGAGCUGAUGACCGGUGGUUGGGGGUUUGGUUGUCAUGUUGAUGAUACUGGCCUGUUGUAGAAGGUACAGCAGAGCUGAUGACCGGUGGUUGGGGGUGUGGUUGUCAUGUUGAUGAUACUGGCCUGUUGUAGAAGGUACAGCAGAGCUGAUGACCGGUGGUUGGGGGUGUGGUUGUCAUGUUGAUGAUACUGGCCUGUUGUAGAAGGUACAGCAGAGCUGAUGACCGGUGGUUGGGGGUGUGGUUGUCAUGUUGAUGAUACUGGCCUGUUGUAGAAGGUACAGCAGAGCUG